GAUGAAGAACGUAGCGAAAUGCGAUAAGUAAUGUGAAUUGCAGAAUUCAGUGAAUCAUCGAAUCUUUGAACGCACAUUGCGCCCGCCAGUAUUCUGGCGGGCAUGCCUGUUCGCGCGUCAUUACAACCCUCAGGCCCCCGGGCCUGGCGUUGGGGAUCGGCGGAGCCCCCCGUGGGCACACGCCGUCCCCCAAAUGCAGUGGCGGUCCCGCCGCAGCUUCCAUCGCGUAGUAGCUAACACCUCGCGACUGGAGAGCGGCGCGGCCACGCCGUAAAACACCCAACUCUUCUGAAGUUGACCUCGAAUCAGGUAGGAAUACCCGCUGAACUUAAGCAUAUCAAUAAGCGGAGGA
rnacentral:misc_RNA from 1 species